UUCGCAAUGCCCGAAAGGGUGACGAAGCGACGCCGCGUGGAUGAAGAAGGCCUUCGGGUUGUAAAAUCCUGUCAGGAGUUAAGAAAUGUAAGUGCGCUAAUAUCGCAUUUACUUGACGAAGGCUCCAAAGGAAGCCACGGCUAACUCUGUGCCAGCAGCCGCGGUAAUACAGAGGUGGCAAGCGUUGUUCGGAAUUAUUGGGCGUAAAGAGCACGUAGGUGGGUUUGUAAGUCAGGUGUGAAAGCCUUCUGUUCAAAGGAAGAACGGCAUCUGAAACUACAGAUCUUGAGUGUAGGAGGGGAGAGUGGAACUUCUGGUGGAGCGGUGAAAUGCGUAGAUAUCAGAAGGAACGUCGGCGGCGAAAGCGACUCUCUGGCCUAUUACUGACACUGAGUGUGCGAAAGUUAGGGGAGCAAACGGGAUUAGAUACCCCGGUAGUCCUAGCCGUAAACGAUGGGCACUAAGUAGAGGGGUUUU
rnacentral:rRNA from 1 species